AUUGAACGCUGGCGGCAUGCCUUACACAUGCAAGUCGAACGGCAGCACGGGUGCUUGCACCUGGUGGCGAGUGGCGAACGGGUGAGUAAUACGUCGGAACGUACCUUAUCGUGGGGGAUAACGCAGCGAAAGCUGUGCUAAUACCGCAUAAGCCCUGAGGGGGAAAGCGGGGGAUCGAAAGACCUCGCGCGAUUAGAGCGGCCGAUGCCUGAUUAGCUUGUUGGUGGGGUAAAAGCCCACCAAGGCGACGAUCAGUAGCUGGUCUGAGAGGACGCUCAGCCACACUGGGACUGAGACACGGCCCAGACUCCUACGGGAGGCAGCAGUGGGGAAUUUUGGACAAUGGGGGCAACCCUGAUCCAGCAAUGCCGCGUGAGUGAAGAAGGUCUUCGGGUUGUAAAGCUCUUUUGUCAGGGAAGAAACACCGGCUCUAACACAGUCCGGGAAUGACGGUACCUGAAGAAUAAGCACCGGCUAACUACGUGCCAGCAGCCGCAGUAA
rnacentral:rRNA from 1 species